AUUGCGGGUUCGUAGAGGAACCUUUCUGACUUGAGAUUGAGUUUUGUUAGCUGUGGUUGCUGAUAAGGGACUUGAAGAUAGUUAGCUCCAGUUGGGUUAAAGAGUGCGUUGGAUCCUUUUGAUUUAAUAGGACUUUAUAAAGACUUCCGCUGUUAUUUAUUUAUAAGAUUUAUGUUCUGGUUUGUAAUAAUUAUUUUUACAGUCUAUUUAGUUGGUCUGUAAUAAUUAGUUAAAACUUAUUGGUUAUUGUUUUAGUUAGAACCAUUAGCCUUGCGGUUAUUAUUAAUAAUUAUCGCGGCGUAGCACCUUUGGAUUUCGAGUUUAUUUAUAUUAAGUUGAUUUUAGAA